GAUGAACGCUGGCGGCGUGCCUAAUACAUGCAAGUCGAGCGAACAGAUGAGAAGCUUGCUUCUCUGAUGUUAGCGGCGGACGGGUGAGUAACACGUGGGUAACCUACCUAUAAGACUGGGAUAACUCCGGGAAACCGGGGCUAAUACCGGAUAAUAUUUUGAACCGCAUGGUUCAAUAGUGAAAGACGGUUUCUGCUGUCACGUACAGCUGGACCCGCGCCGUAUUAGCUAGUUGGUAAGGUAAAGGCUUACCAAGGCGACGAUACGUAGCCGACCUGAGAGGGUGAUCGGCCACACUGGAACUGAGACACGGUCCAGACUCCUACGGGAGGCAGCAGUAGGGAAUCUUCCGCAAUGGGCGAAAGCCUGACGGAGCAACGCCGCGUGAGUGAUGAAGGUCUUCGGAUCGUAAAACUCUGUUGUUAGGGAAGAACAAAUUUGUUAGUAACUGAACAAGUCUUGACGGUACCUAACCAGAAAGCCACGGCUAACUACGUGCCAGCCGCCGCCGUAA
rnacentral:rRNA from 1 species